GCCACUAGAGGCAGGUGGGGGCACUGGAAUCAGCUUUGCUGGGGAGAGAGGAGGUGGCUGAGAUGGGGCUUUCUGAUGAGGAGCUGAGGCAGGAGCUGCAGGCCACUGCAGAGGAAGUACUGGGGAGGCUGAGGAGCCGGCAGCUCUUCCAGUCGGAAUGGGACGUCGCUGCCUUUGUGGUCUUUCUCACAUUUGUGGGCACUGUGCUGUUGUUGCUGUUGCUGGUCUUUGUCCAUUGCUGCUGUUGUUGCUGCUGCAACACCUCCCCCAGGCCCCGGAAGGUGAGCCCCGGGAAGGAAAAGCGCAAUGGUGUGGAUAACUUGGCCCUGGAACCUUAAUGCUAACUUGCCCUUGGCAUGGGUCCUGCUGGAUGACAGUAACAGAGCC
rnacentral:lncRNA from 1 species